CGUCUGGGCAGCUGUGGACUUUGGGAUGCCAGCUCUAUAGGACGUGACCCGGAAACAGACUCAGAUUCGCCAAAAGGAGCAUGGAGAAUUAAGAGCUGCUCCCUGUGUGUCCUUUAUCAAAGGUUUGUUCAAUUAGGCAUAUGGGCUGUAGCGCCCUCUAUAGAAAAAAGGGUGCAGCGGCCUGCCCAGGACCACCAGCCACACCCAUGGAAGCCCAGGGCCCUGCUCCUCUACCCGCCAUGGCCGCUAGGAGGUUGGGGGCAGGUAGGUCUGUAGCCAUCAUGCCCGACUCCCUGUGGGCAGUCCUGGGAGAUGGGCUACCACGGCUUCAGCCCUGGGCCUGUGGCAGGGGCUCUGGGCAGUCCUCGGUCC